AUACGGAGGGUGCGAGCGUUAAUCGGAAUUACUGGGCGUAAAGCGUGCGUAGGCGGUUUGCUAAGUCAGAUGUGAAAGCCCCGGGCUUAACCUGGGAACUGCAUUUGAUACUGGCAGACUAGAGUAUGAUAGAGGGGGGUAGAAUUCCUGGUGUAGCGGUGAAAUGCGUAGAUAUCAGGAGGAAUACCAGUGGCGAAGGCGGCCCCCUGGAUCAAUACUGACGCUGAGGUACGAAAGCGUGGGUAGCGAACAGGAUUAGAUACCCUAGUAGUCC
rnacentral:rRNA from 1 species